CCCUAAGGCGAGGCCGAAAGGCGUAGUCGAUGGGAAACAGGUUAAUAUUCCUGUACCUGGUGUUACUGCGAAGGGGGGACGGAGAAGGCUAUGUUGGCCGGGCGACGGUUGUCCCGGUUUAAGCGUGCAGGCUGGUUUUCCAGGCAAAUCCGGAAAAUCAAGGCUGAGGCGUGACGACGAGGCACUACGGUGCUGAAGCAACAAAUGCCCUGCUUCCAGGAAAAGCCUCUAAGCCUCAGGUAACAUCAGAUCGUACCCGAAACCGACACAGGUGGUCAGGUAGAGAAUAC
rnacentral:rRNA from 1 species